CCUACGGGGAGCAGCAGUGAGGAAUAUUGGUCAAUGGACGAGAGUCUGAACCAGCCAAGUAGCGUGAAGGAUGACUGCCCUAUGGGUUGUAAACUUCUUUUAUAUGGGAAUAAAACGUUCCACGUGUGGGAUUUUGUAUGUACCAUAUGAAUAAGGAUCGGCUAACUCCGUGCCAGCAGCCGCGGUAAUACGGAGGAUCCGAGCGUUAUCCGGAUUUAUUGGGUUUAAAGGGAGCGUAGGUGGAUUGUUAAGUCAGUUGUGAAAGUUUGCGGCUCAACCGUAAAAUUGCAGUUGAAACUGGCAGUCUUGAGUACAGGAGAGGUGGGCGGAAUUCGUGGUGUAGCGGUGAAAUGCUUAGAUAUCACGAAGAACUCCGAUUGCGAAGGCAGUUCACUGGACUGCAACUGACACUGAGGCUCGAAAGUGUGGGUAUCAAACAGGAUUAGAUACCCCAGUAGUC
rnacentral:rRNA from 1 species